AACGAACGCUGGCGGCAGGCCUAACACAUGCAAGUCGAACGCUCUAGCAAUAGAGAGUGGCAGACGGGUGAGUAACACGUGGGAAUCUUCCUAUCGGUACGGAAUAGCUCAGGGAAACUUGGGGUAAUACCGCAUACGCCCUUCGGGGGAAAGAUUUAUCGCCGAUAGAUGAGCCCGCGUCUGAUUAGCUAGUUGGUGAGGUAAUGGCUCACCAAGGCGACGAUCAGUAGCUGGUCUGAGAGGAUGACCAGCCACACUGGGACUGAGACACGGCCCAGACUCCUACGGGAGGCAGCAGUGGGGAAUAUUGGACAAUGGGCGCAAGCCUGAUCCAGCCAUGCCGCGUGAGUGACGAAGGUCUUCGGAUUGUAAAGCUC
rnacentral:rRNA from 1 species